rnacentral:rRNA from 1 species
CAGUAGCCGCGGGAAUACAGAGGGUGCAAGCGUUAAUCGGAAUUACUGGGCGUAAAGCGCGCGUAGGUGGUUUGUUAAGUUGGAUGUGAAAUCCCCGGGCUCAACCUGGGAACUGCAUCCAAAACUGGCAGGCUAGAGUAGGGCAGAGGGUGGUGGAAUUUCCUGUGUAGCGGUGAAAUGCGUAGAUAUAGGAAGGGACACCAGUGGCGAAGGCGACCACCUGGGACAACACUGACGCUGAAGCACGAAAGCGUGGGGAGCAAACAGGAUUAGAUACCCCCGUAGUCCCUGUCUCUUAUAC